rnacentral:rRNA from 1 species
CCAGACUCCUACGGGAGGCAGCAGUGGGGAAUAUUGCACAAUGGGGGGAACCCUGAUGCAGCGACGCCGCGUGGGUGAAGGAGUACUUCGGUACGUAAAGCCCUAUCAGCAGGAAAGAAAAUGACGGUACCUGACUAAGAAGCCCCGGCUAACUACGUGCCAGCAGCCGCGGUAAUACGUAGGGGGCAAGCGUUAUCCGGAUUUACUGGGUGUAAAGGGAGCGUAGACGGCAGUGCAAGUCCGGAGUGAAAGCCCGGGGCUCAACCCUGGGACUGCUCUGGAAACUGUAAAGCUGGAGUGCGGGAGGGGCAGGCGGAAUUCCUGGUGUAGCGGUGAAAUGCGUAGAUAUCAGGAGGAACAUCGGUGGCGAAAGCGCUUUACUGGACCAUUAUUGACGCUGAGGAACGAAAGCCAGGGGAGCAAAUGGGAUUAGAUACCCGAGUACU